UACGUAGGGUGCAAGCGUUAAUCGGAAUUACUGGGCGUAAAGCGUGCGCAGGCGGUUCGCUAAGACAGAUGUGAAAUCCCCGGGCUUAACCUGGGAACUGCAUUUGUGACUGGCGGGCUAGAGUAUGGCAGAGGGGGUAGAAUUCCACGUGUAGCAGUGAAAUGCGUAGAGAUGUGGAGGAAUACCGAUGGCGAAGGCAGCCCCCUGGGCCAAUACUGACGCUCAUGCACGAAAGCGUGGGGAGCAAACAGG
rnacentral:rRNA from 1 species